UACGUAGGUGGCAAGCGUUGUCCGGAUUUAUUGGGUUUAAAGGGUGCGUAGGCGGUCCUAUAAGUCAGUUGUGAAAUCCGGCAGCCUAACUGUCGAGGUGCAAUUGAUACUGCAGGACUUGAGUACAGACGAGGUAGGCGGAAUUGACGGUGUAGCGGUGAAAUGCUUAGAUAUCGUCAAGAACACCGAUAGCGAAGGCAGCUUACUAGACUGUAACUGACGCUGAUGCACGAAAGUGUGGGGAUCAAACAGG
rnacentral:rRNA from 1 species